AACGAACGCUGGCGGCAUGCCUAACACAUGCAAGUCGAACGAGACCUUCGGGUUUAGUGGCGCACGGGUGCGUAACGCGUGGGAACCUGCCCUUAGGUUCGGAAUAACUCGCCGAAAGGGGUGCUAAUACCGGAUAAUGUCUUCGGACCAAAGAUUUAUCGCCUUUGGAUGGGCCCGCGUCGGAUUAGCUAGUUGGUAGGGUAAAAGCCUACCAAGGCGACGAUCCAUAGCUGGUUUGAGAGGAUGAUCAGCCACACUGGGACUGAGACACGGCCCAGAAUCCUACGGGAGGCAGCAGUGGGGGAUAUUGGACAAUGGGCGAAGGGCUGAUCCAGCAAUGCCGCGUGAGUGAUGAAGGCCUUAGGGUUGUAAAGCGCUUUUACCCGGGAUGAUAAUGACAGUACCGGGAGAAUAAGCACCGGCCAACUCCGUG
rnacentral:rRNA from 1 species